rnacentral:rRNA from 1 species
GGGAGGCAUAAACUGCAGUCGAGCGAGCUUGCCUAGAUGAUUUUAGUGCUUGCACUAAAUGAAACUAGAUACAAGCGAGCGGCGGACGGGUGAGUAACACGUGGGUAACCUGCCCAAGAGACUGGGAUAACACCUGGAAACAGAUGCUAAUACCGGAUAACAACACUAGACGCAUGUCUAGAGUUUGAAAGAUGGUUCUGCUAUCACUCUUGGAUGGACCUGCGGUGCAUUAGCUAGUUGGUAAGGUAACGGCUUACCAAGGCAAUGAUGCAUAGCCGAGUUGAGAGACUGAUCGGCCACAUUGGGACUGAGACACGGCCCAAACUCCUACGGGAGGCAGCAGUAGGGAAUCUUCCACAAUGGACGAAAGUCUGAUGGAGCAACGCCGCGUGAGUGAAGAAGGGUUUCGGCUCGUAAAGCUCUGUUGGUAGUGAAGAAAGAUAGAGGUAGUAACUGGCCUUUAUUUGACGGUAAUUACUUAGAAAGUCACGGCUAACUACGUGCCAGCAGCCGCGGUAAUACGUAGGUGGCAAGCGUUGUCCGGAUUUAUUGGGCGUAAAGCGAGUGCAGGCGGUUCAAUAAGUCUGAUGUGAAAGCCUUCGGCUCAACCGGAGAAUUGCAUCAGAAACUGUUGAACUUGAGUGCAGAAGAGGAGAGUGGAACUCCAUGUGUAGCGGUGGAAUGCGUAGAUAUAUGGAAGAACACCAGUGGCGAAGGCGGUUCUCUGGUCUGCAACUGACGCUGAGGCUCG